CAAAAGGAAAUAAGAGCACCCCCGAAAAAAGAAAAGAAAUGACAUUCAAUUAGAUGUGAAAAAUAGGUAUUUCCGGUUGGAGAUGGCUUAGGGUCAUCGAGAAAGACGAGGGAAGUCGGGACUGAAGGCAGAACUAGACCGAGACCCCUCCUUGGGCCUCUUAGGGGAGAACAUUAUCAGCUUGGCGCUUUGUCCUUUAGGAAGCUCCGCAUUCUUCAACUGCCUCUUCUUCGACCGUCGACCUCGACAUGCUUGAUACAAAGCUGCGUUAAGCUAACCCGUUGCUUCGGUGGGAAAGGCCGAAGGAGCAGAUUUUUUAUGGCAGGGUAGCGUGAAAUGAAGCGGAGAAGAGACGGAGUGAAAGGGAGUGGUAUUUUUGAGGUUAAGUUUGUAUUUGAGUGGUAGGAGUGUAAUAUUUAAAUUUUGAGUGUUAAAUAUGUAAUAUACAUGUUAUAAAGUGGCAUGUAUGUAAAAAUCCCUUUUUUUUUAUUGUGUGACUUGCAAACAGAGCAUUUUACAUAACUUAGAACUAACAAUGUUGCAUGAGAUGCCUUCGUCUCCCAUGCCCGCCUCUUUCUCUCUGCACCCGAACUCGCCCUAGCCCUGAUCUCACCUCUAUCUCCUAGGCCCACUUCCUUCUCCCCCUUCCACAAGCUCGCCCUACCUCACGAAAAUCCCGCUAAACUGAAGGCUACGACAAAUAGGCUUUGAACUCUCUUGAGGUGGAGGAAUGCGACCAGCUAGCAGAUCUCAAACUUGCAACUGAUGAAGCAAUUGCUGCGAUGGUUGACUCGAACGAUAUAGAUGGGAUCUCAGUCCAGCUUCUACAUGAAGUUUUGAAAGGCAAGUUCGAACCUGCGCCUGCUACUCACAUUGUGAACUGGAGGCUGCUGAACAUGCGUAGAUCAAUAUUCAUAUGCCGAACGGUCUUUCCAGGGCUGAUUAGAUGGAAGUUUUGCGUUCUCUUCAUGACAGACAGGAACCAAUUGCCGAGCCAGUGCAUCGUUCCGAGCGGGCUUCCCACUUCACAUAGGUGCAAAUGGUUAUGAAUGAGCUCUAUGAAGAUCUAAGUAGGUGUGGAAGUCCCAUUGAUUCAGCCUUCAAUGACACCAGUCACCCAGGUCAGUGCUCACAAGGUGUUUGCACAAAUGCUCCAGUGACUACACAAGAAAAUUUUCUGAACAUAACUGUGAUACACUUGGCGGCUAGAAUAUUGUAGUUUUGUGGUCAAUAUACUCGAACUUUUUGCUUUACCUUUGUUUCUUAUAUGACAGUUUUAGUGCAUGAUAUACUAUUAUUAUACAACUAGUAAAAGCAACAAUUAGUCACAAAUUUCUUGAAUUAACUAAAUAAACUGUGGUUAUAGAGUAAAAGCCACAAUAGUCAGUAAUUCCAA